rnacentral:rRNA from 1 species
UCGGGAAUUUUGGGCAAUGGGCGAAAGCCUGACCCAGCAACGCCGCGUGAAGGAUGAAGUAUUUCGGUAUGUAAACUUCGAAAGAAUAGGAAGAAUAAAUGACGGUACUAUUUAUAAGGUCCGGCUAACUACGUGCCAGCAGCCGCGGUAAUACGUAGGGACCAAGCGUUGUUCGGAUUUACUGGGCGUAAAGGGCGCGUAGGCGGCAAUUCAAGUCAUCUGUGAAAUCUCCGGGCUUAACUCGGAACGGUCAGAUGAUACUGCUUUGCUAGAGUGCAGAAGGGGCAAUCGGAAUUCUUGGUGUAGCGGUGAAAUGCGUAGAUAUCAAGAGGAACACCUGAGGUGAAGACGGGUUGCUGGGCUGACACUGACGCUGAGGAGCGAAAGCAUGGGUAGCAAACAGGAUUAGAUACCCAAGUAGUCCCUGAGCGGGCUGGCAAGGCGCAU